CUUGCCAAAUUUUCUGUAGCUUUCCUUCUCUAGCACGGCAACAUUAGAUCUCCAUCUAAUCUCCAUCUAUUAUGUUGUAGCUUUCCUUCCCUAGCACGAUAAUGGCUAAUCUCCAUGAAGGAGGAGAAGAUCGCAGAGGACGGCCCUAAUCCAGUCCACCAACACAUCUAAUUUUGUGGAUGCCAUGGAUGCAAGGACAUGCAAAUUUCUGUAGCCUUCCUUCUCUAGCACGUAUCCUCAAUCUUAUUCUCCCUCACGAGUUGAGUUCAAUCCGAGAAACCUGUGCUGGAAGAAGGCCUAGAUUGCAGACAACGGCCCUGAUCAAGUCCACCAGCACAUCUACUUUGGUGGAUCUUCUCAAAAAAAAUCUACUUUGGUGGAAGCGAUGGAUGCAAGGACAUGCAUGUACGGAUGAUACAUGACCAGCAAGGGUGUUCAUGGGGUGGCGCAUACUUUACCCGUAGUGAUACAUGCUGCUUUUUUAGGAUGCAGAAAAUUGCCGAUGUAUUAUGUUACAGCAAACCCAUUGUUUUGUUAACGAGGGGAUCACCUAUUUUUAAACAUGUGUACAUAAUUUCUCUAUUUGUAUUUCUUUAAUUUAUCUCCAAGAUCCUCAAAAUAUUUAUAUAUUUCUACUAGCAAAAUGAAACCAGGAGUGCUGCAUACUAAAUGUAGAAUUUUGCCAAGUUCUGGUAAGUUAUUCAUUUGGCUGCUAUACAUGUGGAUGAUGACCUUUUUCUACUCC